rnacentral:lncRNA from 10 species
GAAGGAAAAAAUACCUUACCUAUAGUGGAACAAAAAUAUGAAUUACAGCAGACUUCUAGUCAGAAACUGCCAAAGAAUGAAGAAAGGGGAGUAAAAUAAUCAAACUCUUGAGAGAAACAAAACAUCAAUUUAGAAGUCUAUAUCCAGUGAAAAUAUUCUUCAAAAGUGAAAGAGGAAAAAAAAAAGACAUUGCCAGACAAAUGAAAACUGAGAGAAUUCAUUGCCAGCAGAACUGCUUAGCAGAAAUGUUAAAAGAAGUUAGUUAUUCAGGAAGAACUAUAAAGAAAGGAAGGAUGUUGGAGAAGGAAUACAUGAAGACAAGAAGUACUGCUUUAAUAAACGUGAACCGAUGUGCACUCCUGUAUGUUUGAAACUAAGAAGCCUAAGGUGAAUUAAAGAAUCUGUGGUUCUUGUGGGUCCUGCAGGUUACAAACUUGUGAAAAAUCUUUGACUUUAUACAUCCCACUGCCCUACCCUGUUGGAAAAGACCAAUCCUGGAAUGCUGAAGCCCUGAUGGAAGAUGAAUAGAAACCGGACACUCCCACAGAGGGCUGGUUAGCUGGUGCACCAUCCCAUUUGCUCUUGGACUCUGCUCACUUCACCUCUCGGUGUGACUUUGCGAUGGCUGGAGCUGUGCCAGGCCUGCUACCCCUGGACACCUGAUGAUAUCAAGAGGACUAAGGGCCCCUGAAAUUUCAGAAAUGCUGAAUCCGUGGCAAAAGAGAUGUUAUUGGUGCCCUGAGUUCUUGUAAUCUCCAAGGAGAGAAAUCAAGAGGGAUCACCAGACAUAGCAGCCAAAAAGAAAGAGAAAAAUUUAUUUUAGCUUGUGUGCAAGGAAGUCAGCACUGCAAAAGGAAAAGGUGGGUUGCUCCCCAAGGGCAGUAUGUGGGUUAGUUUUACAGGGACUUUCUAUAGAAAAGGAUUUUGUCAGAGCCUGAAUAGGAGGGGUUUGUCUAGAGCUUGUGCAGUGGUUUUACAUGCUUCUUCAUACAUCACAAAUAACAUGAGCAUUUUAAAUCUCCACUGCUGGGCAUGAUUUUUAGCAUUAAAAUGAGGCAAGGGUAACUAUAAGUUAAAGUUUAAGUCUAACUGCACACGCAGAACUUCAUGGUAGGCCCUAGCCCCCUGAAGUAGGAACUCGUGGUGGUUAAUAACUUCUUGGGUCUUGUUGUUAAUCAGCUGGAAGUUAGGUAAGGUGCAGCAUGAAUAAGGGGCUUUUGUUCUUUUUCUCGAAACCACCUCAAAACAGGAAAUCAGCCAGCCUGUCUGUCUCAGAAAGACCAAUAGGUGUGAAUUAAUCUUUAACCAAAAUAUCCUGGGCUCCAAGGCAAUUUGGGGGUGUAAAUACACCCCCAAAUCUUCUAUUAAUUUCUUAAAUAGAUUAUGAGGCAAUCCAAUGAUUCACAGAUUUACCUUUGCCUAUCCACUGAGUGAACUUUAAGAGAACUGUAAGUUGUUUUUCCAGUAGGUUUAUCUGCUAGAGCAGAUGAAAUCUGUUCUUAUUCAUUGCAGGCCUCCUGAGAUCCUAGUUCCUAAAUUUUUAGCAGACUCUUCCACCUCUCUAUUGAAGGGUGUGAAGUAUCUUCCCUGUACUCAAAAUAGCUACUGAUUGAUUGUUCAGUCAUUUACAUAUAAAAAUAAGACUCUGUUUUCUUCCUCAGCAACAAGGAACUCUCUAAUUCCUAUCUGACAGUUCACAGAGAUGUGGUGAGUAAGUACAAGUAGGUCUUCGACAAAAUUUCUUGCAAAUACUCUAUUGGUCAAGUCCUUGUAGAAUCAACUAGGAAAGUACAGUGCCUAUGUUAGGUUUUUAAUCUGUCAACAUGCUAUAGCUUUAUUUGAUGAAAGACUGCUCCAUGCUGUGUAACCAGUAAAAUAUGAAUUAUAGGUAAUCAUCUCAUCAGAGUUGAAUUCUUUACAUUUAAAAAAUAUGAAUCCUACCUUAAGGAAAGCUUCUAUUUUCAAAGUGGAAUCUUUCUAAAUACUCUUGGAACUGGAGUUAUUUUCAAGUGCCCUAGAGAAAGCAAACAGCUGUUGAAUCCUACACAGAACUAAGAGUUCAAAAAUCAGUGCUUAGACUUUCCAUUUCAGCCCAGCAGGGUCACCCAAGUGACAUUUCUGGGGAACAGAAUCAACUUCCAGUAAAUUAGCAAACAUACACCACAAAUGGAAAUAUUCAAUUGAAUAUUUAUAAGAAAUAAAAAAUUGAAGGUGUAUGGAAAAGAGAAUCACUUUUUAUUAUUGAAAUGUCUAAUGCUUCAAGCUAAUAGUUUAAACUGAAAAUCAGGAUGUUAUUGGGAAAGGAAUGCAAUUAACAUUUUAUGAGUAACUGUGUGGUGGUGUUUGUUAUUGUUAAAGGAAAAAAAAAGCAAAUACUUCCCAAGUACACUUUGUUUAUUUCAAUUCCUAGCGGCAGAGAUUUUAAGGGUGUUUACUGGUGUAAUGGGAAGAGCACUGGACUAGGAGCCAGGAAACCUGAGUUUGGCCAGUGAUCUUUUGGCCUUGAUUUUCUUUUCUGUAAAAUGAGAAAGAGGGCUAGGCUAGUCGUUUCUGGCACAUGUCUGGCCACAUGACAAACCUCUUCCUCAAAGAUUAUGACUCAGUAGGUCUGGGAGACCCGCUUCUGGCAUACUGAGAUUAGAUCCCACAAGCACAUCAUUUAGCUUAUGUGGAACUAAUGGAUGGAUCAAAACAUUGAAAGAUAAGCAGUGUUUAUUCUAAGGGAGAAAGGGAAGGAGACUUGCCGGAAAUCAUGGAAGCUGAGAUGUCAUAUUAAAAGAAGCAAUAGAAAGAAUCUUUGAGCCAAAGUUAUCAAAAAUACAGGCAUUUCCAUUGUGCAUUUGUGGAAGAAAGACACACCAUGAUUUGAAAGUUUCUGAUGUGAUUCAAGGAUGCCUAUGAGGAGGCAAGUAAGCGGCACCACUGUUUGCACUCUGACUCCCUUUUUACCCAGUGCAUCUCUGCUUAGUCUGUUUUAAAUGCCACAGUUCAGUGGCUGAAACAUGAUUGAGCUGUAUAUUCUAACACUAUGUCCUGGAAACUGGUGAAUCUGUAUUUGUUCCCAAUUUCUGUAUCUGUUAAUGCCACCAUCUUUCUCCUUAUACACACUUUUAUUAGGUUGGUGCAAAAGCAAUUGUGGUUUUUGCCAUUAAUAAAAGCCCAUGUCCAGUUAUGACCUAGCUUGUCAAUUCCUUUAUAUUUCAUCUCAGAUUUAUCUCAGUCGUUCACCUCCCAUAGCCACUUCCUGAUCACAAUCAUCUAAAUUACUGCAAUGCCCUUUUGCCUAGUCUCUGAGUCUCCAUUUUAUUUCUUCUUCAAUUCUUCCUUCAGCACUUCUUAAAUUAACCUUUCUGUUUCACAGUUCUCAUCCUGUU